GAUGAACGCUGGCGGCGUGCCUAAUACAUGCAAGUCGAGCGAACGGACGAGAAGUUUGCUUUUCUGAUGUUAGCGGCGGACGGGUGAGUAACACGUGGAUAACCUACCUAUAAGACUGGGAUAACUUCGGGAAACCGGAGCUAAUACCGGAUAAUAUUUUGAACCGCAUGGUUCAAAAGUGAAAGACGGUCCUGCUGUCACUUAUAGAUGGAUCCGCGCUGCAUUAGCUAGUUGGUAAGGUAACGGCUUACCAAGGCAACGAUGCAUAGCCGACCUGAGAGGGUGAUCGGCCACACUGGAACUGAGACACGGUCCAGACUCCUACGGGAGGCAGCAGUAGGGAAUCUUCCGCAAAGGGCGAAAGCCUGACGGAGCAACGCCGCGUGAGUGAUGAAGGUCUUCGGAUCGUAAAACUCUGUUAUUAGGGAAGAACAUAUGUGUAAGUAACUGUGCACAUCUUGACGGUACCUAAUCAGAAAGCCACGGCUAACUACGUG
rnacentral:rRNA from 1 species